rnacentral:lncRNA from 1 species
AAACAGAGGAGUAGCAAAAUGGGAGGAAGGUGCUGUGACUAAAUGAAGGAAGGCUGAGGGGUUAAAAUCAUUGCUGGGUGAUUUCACCACUACUGCCCCAUAUUCAUACUCUCGGUAAAUGAAUGAGGAGAGCCCCAUGUGGGAUUACAAACUUGCUGGAAAUGGAUGAGAAACCUUCUGCUCUGCUGGAGUUUAUCUUGAGUGUGCCUUAAAAUUCCAUUUCAUGGAGAACUGUGCGUGGUUGAAUUUUGAUUGAUUACUCAAUUAACUGAUGUAUUGGUAGAGUGAUUAAGAAAGAAGACUUUGGGAUCAGACCAACCUGGUUUUGAAUUCAAGCUCAGCAACUUACUAGGUAAGGAGGAGAAAAGAAAGAAGGAAAAAUUGGAAAGAUAAAUGGGGUCUUUCCAGUGAAGCCUCCAGGCCUCCAGACUGGAACUUAUACCACUGAUUCUUCUGAAUCUUAGGCCUUUGGACUUGGACUGGAACUAAACCAUCAGCUCUUCUUGUUCUACCACUUGCAGACUGUAUGUCUUGGGACAUGUCAGCCUCUGUAAUCACAAACACAAGAAAUAAGAAGACCAUUUUGAGAAGAACAGAGAGUAGCCUUAAGAAAAUCCCUGUCGCAAGCACUCUGGGAUUUGGACUCAAAUGCUAAUUAUACAGAACCACUUGGGUGCCCAGCUGCUGUCCAUUCUCUACACUUAUCCCACCUGAUGGAAGGCUGUUAAGAAAAACAUCACUGCAAUGCCUAAUAAACAGACAUGGGUCCCAGACCCAAUAAGAGUGAAACCAUCCCCCUAUUUAAAUGAAAUUAUGGCUGAUGAGAAAGACAAAUUAAUUUCUCUGUCCCUAGUAUUACACAAAACUUUGGAUGCUGCCAUUGUUACAAUUUUAUUUUCCCCAGGAGCUCAGAGUCCCACCUUCAUUCUUUUUGUUUAAUGCUUAAGCUUGCCUGUCCACCUAUGGAAGACUAGAAUGAGCAAAGACCAUGUAUUCAAUGAUCUGUAAAUCUAACAGGAAACAAUAUAAUAAAUAUAUUGUGUUUGCUAACCAAA